rnacentral:rRNA from 1 species
UACGAAGGGGGCUAGCGUUGUUCGGAAUUACUGGGCGUAAAGCGUAUGCAGGCGGACUUUUAAGUCGGGGGUGAAAUCCCGAGGCUCAACCUCGGAACUGCCUUCGAUACUGGAAGUCUUGAGUCCGGGAGAGGUGAGUGGAACUCCGAGUGUAGAGGUGAAAUGCGUAGAUAUCUGGAGGAACACCGGUGGCGAAGGCGGCAUCCUGGACCAACACUGACGCUGAGGAGCGAAAGCCAGGGGAGCAAACGGG